UUCAUAGUCCCUCCGUCCGGAAAUACUUGUGGAAAUACUUGUCCGAGGAAUGGAUGUAUCUAAUGUAUUUUAAUGCUAGAUACAUCCAUUGUAUCCAUUUUUACGACAAGUAUUUUCGGACGGGGGAGUAUAUA
rfam:Triticum aestivum genome assembly, contig: Triticum_aestivum_CS42_TGACv1_scaffold_252505_3DL